AUACUUACCUGGUGUAGAGGUAUUCGUGAUCAUUAAGGCGAAUCCUCCGGAAUGAGGCUCUUUCAUUGCACAUUCGAGGGGGCUGAACUCUGCGAUUAUGACUCAAGUUCAUAACUCGUGCACACUAUUUUUGGUAGCAGGGAAAAGCGUUCGCGCUAUCCCUAU